AGUGAACGCUGGCGGUAGGCCUAACACAUGCAAGUCGAACGGCAGCACAGUAAGAGCUUGCUCUUACGGGUGGCGAGUGGCGGACGGGUGAGGAAUACAUCGGACUCUACUUUUUCGUGGGGGAUAACGUAGGGAAACUUACGCUAAUACAGCAUACGACCUACGGGUGAAGGCAGUGGAUCUUCGGACCUUGCGCGAUUGAAUGAGCCGAUGUCGGAUUAGCUAGUUGGCGGGGUAAAGGCCCACCAAGGCGACGAUCCGUAGCUGGUCUGAGUGGAUGGUCGCCCACCUGGGAGCGGAGACAGGGUCCAGACGCCUACGGGAGGCACCAGUGGGGAAUGUUGGACAACAGGCGCAAGUCUGAUCCAGCCAUACCGCGUGUGUGAAGAAGGCCUUCGGGUUGUAAAGCCCUUUUGUUGGGAAAGAAAAGCAGCAGGUUAAUACCACGCUGUUGUGACGGUACCCAAAGAAGAAGCACCGGCUAACUUCGUG
rnacentral:rRNA from 1 species